GCCGGGAUAGCUCAGUUGGUAGAGCGGAGGACUGAAAAUCCUCGUGUCACCAGUUCAAUUCUUGUUCCUGGCA
rfam:Nicotiana sylvestris Nsyl_contig94972, whole genome shotgun sequence.